UCGAUCGGAAAAGGACAGUGAGCAAGCCAAGAGCAGGCGGAUACAUCGCCACAAUCUAGGCCAAAAAGUAGCUGGAGUUGGCUGGUAAGUCUGUUCCGGAGUAUUGUAUUAUUACAGUCUUGUGGAUGUUACGUUAUCACUAGCUGCAAUUUUCAGUAUGGCAUUUUCUGAUGGUGUUUCUCUGUCUUUCAAACAAUACCAAGGAAAGAAAGUGGAGGUAAAGGUCCAUAGUAUUACCUUGUUUACUUGAAAAAAGGAACAGAAUAUAGUGCAUUGUUGUCAGUUGUCCUACGUUAAAGUACUAUUCUUUUUGGAGUCGUAAAUCCUCUGGAAACAGCAGUCUCCUGUAAUACUGUGAUCAAACAAAGGUCUACUUCCAUGAGGGAGGUAUGUAAGAAGUUUUUGUUUUCUAGAUUGCCGGAAAUAACCUCUGAGGUGUUUAGGGUGAUCAAUAAUUUCUUUUUCUUUCAAGGGGGAGGGGGAGGUGGGGAUGGGGCCUUCAGACCUUUGAUCUCUGGUUUGUUUCCAUCGUUUCCCUUAUUUGUUUCAGUUGGAAGGCUGCGCACUUUUCUUUCGAAUACAUUUAAGCUAUGCAAACCAUGGGCAACCUGUGCAUGCUAAAAAUUGCAGUACAUUCUUCACACAAGAGCAAGAGAUUAUCUUGUCAGGAGUGAGUCACAGGAAUCUCUAGGAAAUUGGGACGGACUCCCACAAACUACAGUAGCCCAUCUUUGUAAAUUUAUGACAUGAUUGUCAUGUUUGUAUUACUGUAUUAUCAAUAGUGUCUUGGGUGUCCAUUUGUGAUGGUAGGCCUAUCACAUUCACAUGAUUAGCAAAAUAAAAGUGCCAUGAAAACAUAGUAACAGAGUAGCGUAUCUAGUAUAGGAGUCUGGAAAUGAGGGCACAAAGGUGAACAUUGAUAAGUGAGGAGUGCUAGCUUCCAAAAUAAGUAAUACACUAUGAGGGGGUGCUUCAAGCAUUUUCAGUAGAGGGACGACUUGGGGAUCUACUGUAGGUACGCCACAGGUAAUACAGCACAUAACCACUUUUCGGACCAAAGUCUCAAGCAGCUUUUAUUAUGAUAAAGAUUAAA